CAGAACACGCUGGCGGCAUGCCUAACACAUGCAAGUCGAACGAAGGCUUCGGCCUUAGUGGCGCACGGGUGCGUAACGCGUGGGAACCUGCCCCUCGGUUCGGAAUAACAGUUAGAAAUGACUGCUAAUACCGGAUGAUGACUUCGGUCCAAAGAUUUAUCGCCGAGGGAUGGGCCCGCGUAGGAUUAGCUAGUUGGUGGGGUAAAGGCCUACCAAGGCAACGAUCCUUAGCUGGUCUGAGAGGAUGAUCAGCCACACUGGGACUGAGACACGGCCCAGACUCCUACGGGAGGCAGCAGUGGGGAAUAUUGGACAAUGGGCGAAAGCCUGAUCCAGCAAUGCCGCGUGAGUGAUGAAGGCCUUAGGGUUGUAAAGCUCUUUUACCAGGGAUGAUAAUGACAGUACCUGGAGAAUAAGCUCCGGCUAACUCCGUG
rnacentral:rRNA from 1 species